rnacentral:lncRNA from 1 species
UUUUUUUGGUAAUUGUCGUUGUGGAUUGGACUUUUGGUUGGUGGAAGGAUCUGACUUCCCGGCACUUGAUAGUUGAUGAUGUGUUGAACACGCAAUAGAUGCGGAUACUCUUGGUGCCCCAAGUUGUAUCUCUUGCUGAUACGUUGUGUCUUUGCCCCUGAGGCGAUCUCGACUUCUUCUUCUGAGAUGUCUGGCUAGCCUGUAACUUGAGCAUAACGACAUAAUCAACGCAUUC